rnacentral:rRNA from 1 species
GAUGAACGCUGGCGGCGUGCCUAAUACAUGCAAGUCGAGCGAACAGACGAGGAGCUUGCUCCUCUGACGUUAGCGGCGGACGGGUGAGUAACACGUGGAUAACCUACUUAUAAGACUGGGAUAACUUCGGGAAACCGGAGCUAAUACCGGGUAAUAUAUUGAACCGCAUGGUUGAAUAGUGAAAGACGGUUUUGCUGUCACUUAUAGAUGGAUCCGCGCCGCAUUAGCUAGUUGGUAAGGUAACGGCUUACCAAGGCAACGAUGCGUAGCCGACCUGAGAGGGUGAUCGGCCACACUGGAACUGAGGCGCGGUCCAGACGCCUACGAGAGGCAGCAGUAGGGAAUCUUACGGAAUAGGCGAAAGCCUGACGAAGCAACGCCGCGUGAGUGAUGAUGGUCUUCGGAUCGUAAAACUCUGUUAUUGGGGAAGAACAAAUGUGUAAGUAACUAUGCACGUCUUGACGGUACCUGGUCAGAAAGCCACGGCUAACUACGUG